CCAGACUCCUACGGGAGGCAGCAGUGGGGAAUAUUGCACAAUGGGGGAAACCCUGAUGCAGCGACGCCGCGUGAGUGAUGAAGUAUUUCGGUAUGUAAAGCUCUAUCAGCAGGGAAGAUAAUGACGGUACCUGACUAAGAAGCUCCGGCUAAAUACGUGCCAGCAGCCGCGGUAAUACGUAUGGAGCAAGCGUUAUCCGGAUUUACUGGGUGUAAAGGGAGCGCAGGCGGCACGGCAAGUCAGAUGUGAAAGCCCGGGGCUCAACCCCGGGACUGCAUUUGAAACUGCCGCGCUAGAGUGUCGGGGAGGCAAGUGGAAUUCCUAGUGUAGCGGUGAAAUGCGUAGAUAUUAGGAGGAACACCAGUGGCGAAGGCGGCUUGCUGGACGAUGACUGACGCUGAGGCUCGAAAGCGUGGGGAGCAAACAGGAUUAGAUACCCUAGUA
rnacentral:rRNA from 1 species